UAUCAGUCCUCUCUUCCUCCUCUAUACUCUUUUGAAAGGUCAAAAUAUCAGUCCUCUCUUCCUCCUCUCUAUACUCUUUAGAAAGGUCAAAAUAUCAGUCCUCUCUUCCUCCUCUCUAUACUCUUUAGAAAGGUCAAAAUAUCAGUCCUCUCUUCCUCCUCUCUAUACUCUUUAGAAAGGUCAAAAUAUCAGUCCUCUCUUCCUCCUCUCUAUACUCUUUAGAAAGGUCAAAAUAUCAGUCCUCUCUUCCUCCUCUCUAUACUCUUUAGAAAGGUCAAAAUAUCAGUCCUCUCUUCCUCCUCUCUAUACUCUUUUGAAAG